rnacentral:rRNA from 1 species
UGGGGAAUUUUGGACAAUGGGCGCAAGCCUGAUCCAGCCAUGCCGCGUGCGGGAAGAAGGCCUUCGGGUUGUAAACCGCUUUUGUCAGGGAAGAAAUCUUCUGAGUUAAUACCUCGGGGAGGAUGACGGUACCUGAAGAAUAAGCACCGGCUAACUACGUGCCAGCAGCCGCGGUAAUACGUAGGGUGCAAGCGUUAAUCGGAAUUACUGGGCGUAAAGCGUGCGCAGGCGGUUUUGUAAGACAGAGGUGAAAUCCCCGGGCUCAACCUGGGAACUGCCUUUGUGACUGCAAGGCUUGAGUGCGGCAGAGGGGGGAUGGAAUUCCGCGUGUAGCAGUGAAAAUGCGUAGAUAUGCGGNGGAACACCGAUGGCGAA